AUGAUAAAUGCUACUAUAAACAAACAAAAUGAAUUUGUUAAAAAUGUGGAGUGUGACUCAAUGUGUGAUAGGACGAUAAAUGAAAAUGAUACAAAUGAAGAUAUGAGUAAUAACAAUGAUGAGUUUUUUUUUGAAGAAAGUCAAGAUGGGGAAAAUGGUUUAACAAACAAGGUAGAUUCUGUUAAAAAUAUAAAUAACUUAAACAGAAUGAUAAAAAGUAAAAAUAAUGAAAUAUAUCAUUUAAAGAAUCGUGUUGUGUUAUUAGAAACGGAAUUACAAAUUAAAAACGAUGCAGAAAUUAGAUAUAAAGAAAAGUUAAAAAAAAGAGGAGAAAAUUUUGAAAGUAGUAACAUGAGUGUUGAUACUAGUAUUGACAUGUGUCAGGGUACUGAUAUAGUUGGUAAUAAUGAAGAAAGUAAGGACCGUAGUAAAAGUAAGGACCGUAAUAAAAAUAAGGACAAUAAUAAAAGUAAGGACGAUAGUAAAAAUAGUCGGUGUCGUAGUAUUGGUACUAUAGGCAGUACAUAUAGUCGUGAUAUGAGUAAUGACAGUAAUAAAUCAAAAGAAAGUAACAUAAAUGUAGAAAAUAACAACCAAUUAAUUGAACUAAAAACAGAAGUGAGAAAAAAAAAAGAAGAAGUAAAAGAAUUAAAAGUAUUAUUAGAAGAUGCAAAAAAAGAAUUAAAAGAAGAAAAAAAAAAAAGUUUAAAUUAUGAAAAACAAUAUAAUAAAGAAAAAAGUGAAGUAAAUAUAUUAAAAGAAGAAAUAAAAAUUUUAGAAAAAAAUAUUUCUAAAAAAAAAAAAGAAUCUGCUAUAAGUGAGAAUACAUUAAAUAAUUUAAAAUUAGAAUCGGAUGAAUUUAAUAAUAUAAUAAAUUGUUCUAAUGAAACAAAAAAACAAUUAACUGAUUAUAUACAUAAUUUAUUAAAUACAUUAAGUGAAUAUAAUGAAAAAAUUGAUGAACUAAAAGAUAGUAACAUAUUAGAAAAACAAAAAAACGAAAGAAAUAAAGAAGAAUUAAAAAAAGUAAAAGAUGAUUUACUAGAUUCUAGUAAUCAAAUAGAUGAACUUGCAUUAUUAUUAGAUAAAAAAGAUGAAUCAAUUGAAAACCUUAAAAUAAAAAUAGAAACAAUUAAUAAAGAAUAUUCUGAUUUACAAUUACAAUAUAAUAAUAUAAUAAAAGAAAGUAAAAAUUUACAUUUAAUUAAUUCUUCACAUAAUGCUAAUAGUUCAUUAAUAAUACAACAGUUACAACAAGAAAUAAAAAUGUUAACUAUGAAUAAUAGUCAUUUAAAAAAAAUAGAAGAAGAUUAUAAAAUUAUUUUACAGGAAAAAACUAUAGUAGAAGAUGCUGCUAUAAAAAUUCAAACAGAAUUAAAAAAAUCAGUAGAUAAAAUUAAAAACUUAGAAUCAUAUAUUCAAACAUUAUCAAUCGAAAUUAAUAAUAUUAAAACACAAAGAGAUGAUUCUUUAGAUGCAAUGACUAAAUUAGCGAUUGAUAAAACACAAUUAGAAAAUGAAUUAAUUGCAAAUAAAAGUAUUAUACAUGAUUUGAAAAUGAGAUUAAAUGAAUUUGAAAAUAAUAUAUUAUUUGUUCAAAAUAAUAUGAGUGAAAUGAAUAAAAUGAAUUUACAAAAAAAUCAAACAGAAAUAUUAUUAAAAAAUGAAAUAAAAACAUUAAGAGAAAAUUUAAAUGAAAAAUCAAUUAAAUUAGAAUUAUUACAAGAAAAAGAAAAAAAAUAUGAACAUAAUACAGUUGCUUAUAAUCAGUUUCAUUUAGAAGCGCAACAAAAAUAUAACUCUUAUGAAAAAGUUAUAGCUCAAUUAAAAAAUGAAAUAGAAGAGUUAACUAUAAAUAAUAAUGAUAGUAUUAUAAUAAUUGAUAAAUUAAAAAAUGAAUUAAAGGAACAAGAAAAAGUGAAUGGUACAUAUAAUUAUGUAGACAUAUCAAAAUGUAUUAAAAAUAAUGAUACGAAAUUACAAUCUGUACUUACAGGUGAUAAUAAUAAUGAUCAGAAUAAGAUAGAUGGUUUAUAUGUUAGUACAGAUGUAAAUAGUAAAAAUAAAAAUGGUAAGAUAAUAAAUAUGAACCAAAAUAUGAACAAAAAUAUUGGAAAACAUACUAUAGAUGUGAAUAGUAGUAAUAUGACAGAACAUGUGCUAGAUUAUCGUCAUAAAAAUGUAAAUUACGAUGAUGAUGAUAAUGGUUAUAUUUAUGAUAGUGAUAGGAAUAAUGACUAUAAUAGUUCGAAUAUUAUCGAAAGUGGGGUAAAUGGAGUAAAUAAAAAAAAAUGUGCAAAAAAUAAAACUAAUGACGAAUAUUAUGAUGUACUAGAUGAUGCAAACCAACAAUUAAGAGAAGAUGGUAGUUUAUAUGAUUAUAGGGAAGAUGAUUUUUCUAUUUUUAUAAAACAUAACAAACAGAAAAAUAAUAACGUUAAUAAAUAUAUCAACGACAGUAUGGAUAAUUAUGUAGAAGAUGAUAUUACGGAUAUACAGAAUGACGCAAUUAAAAGAGAAGGAAGUAAACAUAACAAUAAAUUAGCGAAUAGUGAUAUGGUAAAAAAUGGAUUUGAUAAUGAAGAAAGACAAAAGGAGCAACUAAAAAAAGGGCAACUAAAAAAAGAGCAACUAAAAAAAGAGCAACUAAAAAAAGAGCNNNNNNNNNNUAAAAAAAGAGCAACUAAAAAAAGAGCAACUAAAAAAAGAGCAACUAGAAGAUUCUGAUAACUCAAUAACUCUGUUAAAAGACAUAAAUUUUGCAACACUGAAUGAAAUGAAAAAUCAGAAGACCCUUAAUUGGGAUAGUAAUAUACAUGAUUUAUGUUCAAGUAAAAACUCUUCGUCUUAUUUAGGAAAUCACGACAUUUCUUUGUUUGACAGUUCUGUAAUAAAAAAGAUUUUUAAUUUGAGUUGCA
rnacentral:lncRNA from 1 species